ensembl:lncRNA
AUGGUCUUGUCACCCUAGGGUUUACAUGCAUCUUGAAAAAUUAAAGCAGGUAAUCCCAAAGUCACAUAGAGGUAGCCAAAGUGAGUUAUUUUUUCUACAGAGUGGCAGUGACUUUUAUUUAUAUCUCUCCAAGUUUCUUCUCAAGGUAAAAGAUGCAAUCAUUCUGAAGGAUACCAUUUCAGAGUCUACCAUAAUGGGACUCUCUGUGUCAUUUGUGGAUGGUCAGUGUAGCAGGACCAAGCAUACACCACCUAAGCCCCUGGACUGUCCCCUCGGUGGGAGCAUGCGUGUCUCCUUACUCACCAAAUGCUGUUUGCCACCAAGUAUUUCUCCUCUGCCAUGCCACAGGUAAUGAGGAAUCCACUUCCAGGCCGUUCUCCAUUACAUCUUCUUGAUAGUAAGCACCAAACUGCAGAUCGGAAGCACUUUCUGUAGACAGCUUCUGCAUGGCUGAGACCUGAAUGGAGAUAGUUAUUCAAGGCUAGGGAUUCAGGGUGUUGGAAUUCAGGCCAAGCCAGAGGACCUCACUGAGCUCUUUAGUUAUUCAUUUGAGAACCCAAAUGGGCCAUAACUUAGGAGCUAGAAACACAACCAAGAUGUAGAAACAUGCCCUAGAAUGAAGGCCAAAAAUGAAAUUUAUCAUUCCUUAAAAAAAAAUCUUCAUAUAAAUAAAUGAAACAAGUAUGAAAACACAUCCUGCCAUGUUACCACCACUUCACUGAUUUAGGAUUGGCAUUCCCUAGAGCUCUCCUUCAAGAUCUUGCAAACUGGGCACUAUUUCCCUCCAUCACUGUCUUACCAGGGUUGGUCAAUUCCGACUAUCAUUUUCCCCAUUGGGUUGGCAUGAGAAACAUAAGCAAAGCAGCAGGUGGUGCUGUCUGAUAUUUUGUUCUUACUGCCUUGUGCGUGUACAGAGGGGUCUCUGGUGUCCCUUUCCAUAUCUGAGUUCAAUAUUUUGGCCACAGAACUCAAAUUCAGUAACAUGCAGUUGUGGAAUAAACAAGGAAAUGAAUCACAAGAGCUUGGAUGAACACUGAGGUCUGGAGCCAAGUAACCCACAGAGUGCCCACAUUUAUAGGCAUGGUCAAUGUCGCUGCUGAUUUUAUUCGAGCUGGGGAAUGCUGGACUCAGGCUGCAACAGGGAAAGGCCAUUUCAAGGCAAAUGCAUGUUGCGCAACUUUAGCUGAGGCUGUUUGUAAGCCUGGGGUUGGUGAGCCUUGUGCAAAAAUACAUACUUUCCAACCAGGCCUAUAAUUCCUACCAAGAUUAGAUCCACCAGCCAGGGACACUUGCAAGAAUUUUAUGGCAGCCCCAGUUCUUAACAGUGCAGUAGACUUCUGGAAUGCCGGAGUGCGAACCUGAGCUGACAGAGAAAGAGAAAGGCAGCCUGGGAGGAAUCACGUCCUCCUCCUCCCCACUAGGCUUACUGUAUCUCUGCAUUUUGGAGGCACACAAACUCUUCCGCCCGGCUUCAUGUUUUAGGAACACCAGCACGCUUCUUUCCCCUAUCAAUGAAAUGUGCCACACAGCCGGGCACUCUGCACUGUCACAAUAUGGCAUCUGCCACAUAAACACCAGUUCAGUAUUGCCCCCUCCUCAUUCUGUCAUUUCAUUGGCAGAAGUGUCAUUAACUUUGCAGCGACAAUUAUUCGAGGACCAAGUAAACUGUGGAAAUUUGUAAACUCUUGCAUGGCUAAAUUAAAUGCUAUUUUAACCAACAGUUAAUAGUGUUUACUGCUGUGUAAUAGUAAUUUUCAUUUUUUACUGUAUCUAAUGACAUUCUGAUGACUGGAAUUCUCCAUAGGGAUACCAAAUCAUUACAUUAAGGAUGAGUGAUUUUAGUAUGCAAUGACUGAUCAGUACAAUAAUAUGUAGACUAAUGCUUGAGCUAGUAAAUUAAAUCAUUUGCACCACAGUGUUUGUCAACUAGAAUGGGGAUUCCAUUACGUUGUUAAAUUAUAAUGUAGAGCCUGCUUAAAGUAAAAUAACAAAUGAGCAUCUUAAAUUGGUAAUGCAUUGGUAGAAUACUUUCUCAAGAGGUAUGGAAAAGAGAGAAACACUCCUAAUCUGCUCAAACAGCUCAUCAAUUCCUUAUAGUAGGCGACCGUUGAACCGAAUUAUAGAGGAAACCUUGUAGACACUUUAAAGUGUGAGUGUAAGAGAUUUGCCUGUUGGAGGAGGAGAAAGGAAAUAGGACCUCAGGGAAGGUUUGGAUAAUCAACCAUAUAAGGAAUUGGAUUUUUGUCAGCAUGUGAGAUAUAAUGAAAAAACACAAUUGAAAGGAGAAAGAAAUAACUCUCUUCUAUCCUUCGUGGUGAUUGGCCACACGUGGGAGCACAAUCAAAGCGUAACAGCCACUGGGCGAGACCCCUGUUUCCAGGCCACAACCACGAACUCUCGUCCCUGGCCUGAAAGUCAUCAGGGCUUUCCUAACUCCAGACGAACUAGACUGCGCUUCAUAAACACGAGCUCUUUUUAAGUCAGCCUCUCUAAAGCUAAGGCUAGUUCAACAUCUGAGAUGUGAGAUCUAUCAAACUCCAGAGACUACAACACUCAAAAGAAAAAGUCAUCCAAGUUUUUAGACUUUCUUAGGUCUCAGUGGUUCUUAAUCAUCAGAUCAGGUUUUGGAAUUAAGAUUAGGGAAAGCUUUGGAGAAGAGAAUUGGUGGAGUAAAAUGCAGGAAGGAGAGAAGAAGGAAUCGUUAUCCUCUUUUUCCUAAAAUAGAGGUUUGAGGGCGGAGUGGGAAGGGGCGUAAACUUGACUCAAAAAAGCUCAGUGUCUUUUGAAGAGGAACCUUCAGGAACAAGGUCUACUCCAUUCGGUCCCAUUUAAAAUUAUUUUUGAGGAGCCAUUAUGAGUCAGGCAUGAUGACAGGUCCUGGGUUGAGGGAGAUAAAUACUCUGAGUGCAGUCUUUGAGAAGCAAGCCCACGAUAGAGUAAGACAAGCAAGGAAACCAAGAAUGACCACAGAGCCACAUUUUGUUUUAAUGCAAGUUGACGAAGUGACUCGCUGUUCUCCAAGUUUCAAGCAUUAGGGCCUUGACCUUGGUCGCUAUCACUGCCCAGAACACUCUCUUCCAGGAUACACACAUGGUUAAGUCUCUCAUCUCUGUCCUGUCUUUGUGAAAAUAUCACCCCAUCUAUAAGCCCUUCUACCAUCAUCCUAUUUAAAAAUUGCAACCCACACACUCUGGCCUUCUCCAUCCCCCUUACUCUGCUCUACAUUUUUUUCCAUCACUCAUUAUCUGCUGACAUACUUCACAUUUUUUCUUUUUUUUUUUUUUGUUGGGGAAGAUUAGCCCUGAGCUAACAUCUAUGCCCAUCUUCCUCUACUUUAUAUGUGGGACACCUGCCACAGCAUGGCUUGACAAGCAGUGCGUAGGUAUGCACCCUGACCGGAACUGGCGAACCCCAGGCCGCCAAAGUGGGGCGUGCGAACUUAACCCCUACGCCAUCCACUGGCCCUGAGUGUGCUCUAUUUUUAACACAUAGCUCAGCUCUGCAUCAGGUAAAAUUAGUAGGAUUUUGAAUUUCUUUUACUGUAACGUUCAUAGGAAAGUCAGUUCAUGAAAGAAAUAGUCACGAUUGGGCUGCACUUUUAUUCUCCCAAAAAGUGACAGCUCUGCUCUGUUGGAUAAGAAAGGAGGGUAUUGAAAAGUGAGGGAUAAAACAAACAAAAAAUUAUGGAUCGUUGAAGUUUAUUUUGUGGGCCUACGUGCUAAAAAUCUGUUUACAUACAUAUUGCUGCAUGGUGAUGGAAAUCAAUGCACCUUGAACUGAAUAUUAAAUGAUAUCCUUUUCAAAUACUACCCAGUAAAAAUGUGUGAAAAUAGAAAGUUUCUUGUUUCUCACUUUAUGUUCUUAGAUGAUGCUUCAAAAUAUCAAGAAAAGAUUCUUCUUUAAAAAAUCCAGGUAUGUUUUACUAUAAAAAUAUGCAUCGCAUUUUUAAAAGUCUCUUUUAUAAAUGCAAAAUUGCCAGGUGCAGGAUAACAUUUUAUUGAUACACUUAAAAUUUAGUUUAAUUUUAGAGUAAUUUAGGCUCAGUUUCAAUUAGUAUCACAAUUUUCAAAAUAUAGACCUAGUUUUCUCAAAACUGAUCCCAAACAUUUUCUUUACAUCUUCUGAUUCCACUGGCUAAAGUGUUAUGAGCAUCUGUCUAGAUUUGUUGGGCUCUUGAAAGUAAUUUCAUAACUACAUUUUCUCAGCUGUGAACUGUUUCCUGCUAAUGACAUCACAGCUCUAAUAUAUGACCUUCUAACUUUAACAGGCAAAUGAGGCCUUGGCUAGAUUACCUUAAGUAAAUAAAUAUGUGCAAAGAGAUCAUCUAGCAUUGUACUUCAUUUCAGUCCUUAACACAUGGACCCAAUGUUUUAAAAGGCCUUUGCCACAUGCCACCCUUGCAUAAUGGGUCAAAGAUGAUCAGAUUUGAUUUUGCGAAGGAAGUUAAAUGACAUUAUGGAAAGAAUUUUUAAAAUUCAAGCUGAGAUAUUUUAAAAAUUCAAGAUAUUUUCAGGGAUAUCUGAUCACCUGAAACAAGUUACUAAAAUACAUAAUUUUCAAAAAUUGAACUAAAUAGCUCUAUAGUGAACCAGGAGCGAUGGAUUUCAGAUAAGCCGUGUCUUGGUGCUUAGCAUGCAAAAAGCAGAUGAGAAGAGUAGAGCAUUUCCUUUGCCCCCUAUUUUCACUAAUUUGUGUUAUUGGGUGAUCAGAAAUCCUUGCUUAAGGGAUUAGCCACUGUUGUACUGUUUUAUUCCAGUGUUCCAAGAAUUCCUUUGGAGAUUAAAAACAAAUCCUUGGAAAAAGGAUCCAAUUUUUUUAGUCCAAAAUUACUUCUCGGGACACCAGUGCAAAACAUCAGAAAUGAGCUAAUCCCUUAAGAAAGGGAUAUUUGAUAACUCAAUAGCACAAAUUAAUUGUGAGAAUGCUCAGGGAAUCAAAAUGCAUUAUAAUUAAUUUAAUUCUUAAGAAAUACAUUGAAUAAUGUAGUUAAUCCCCAUAAAUGUAACCUAGUGGAGGGAAGGUGGGAGUUGGCGUUCUCGCCCUUCUUUGACUUUCUAAGCCAAUAAUCAGCCUGAAGUUGGGGAAGCAAAGUUUACCUCUGCAGCUCACCAGUCCACACAUUUCUGUGUAAAAGACUGUAUAAGUGUGUAAACUAUACUGCAAAAAAACAAAUGUCAUUUUCGGUGUGGAAAUAGAUAGAAACAGGUAUGAACUGAUGACUCCUACUAUCCAAUUUAGUGAUCUCUCCUGCAGGAAAGUGAGUGUGUUCUUCUGAUAAAGGAGUCACAUCAUAGGGAAAGGAACCUGUAUGGGGAACACAUUUAAAGCUGAAUGCAUAUAUUAUCUUUCAUGGACUUAAUGACUCAUUUUGUUUUUUUCCCCAAGAGGUCCAGAGUUACAAAAGCAUUACAUUUUAAGUUGCGAAUUCCUCAUUACAGAAAUGUUUUAUGUACUGCUGCAUUCAAAUUAAGCUUCUCUGGUGAUAUCAAAAGAAAAUUUCAGUUAUCAUGUCUAGUUUAUGGCCUACUUGGCAUGCUUCAGUGAGAGAUAUUUAGCAAAUAAGAUUGGUAGUUUGUCAGCUAUCUUAAAUAAUAUCUUAGCUACUUAUGCCAUGCAGCUUCUUUUCAAACAAAGACUGUCAAUGUUCUCAAGGCGUUUUUAGUGAAAUCAUUCGCAGUCCAAAGUUAAGUGUCCAGCAGUCUAGACAGGGGCUGCAGGUGAGAUAUUGCUCCUCCACUAAAAUUAAGUACGGACAACCAAACCAUAAAACCAAAUAUUCAUCUGGCCAACAGCUGAGUAUUCCAGGUAAGUAACUUCAGAGGGUACGGCCACUCUUAUGGUUUUUCCAUCUAAUGGCAACCUCAAAAGGAGCAUGCAGCACCAUUGCAUGUGGUGCAAUCUACAUACCAGCUCAGACUUGCUUUCUUCUGGGGUAGUUACAACCAAGGGCUGGCUGGGGAAGGCAAAGCCCUACUUACCCAUCUUGUUCCCACCUCUGUGUGACGUCAUGCGACUAAAUUGAGGUCGUUGUCCCUUCAUUUGUCCUCCGAUGAACAGUUACUCUUCAUUUAGUACAAGUGUCCUGAAUGCCCACCCUGUACCGAGUUACACAAAUAUGUAACUCGAGGUCCUGUCCUAAUUCCAGAGGAAGUGACCAUCAAGUUGAGGGAGCAACAGUGAAUCACAGGGGGUUAGAAAACAAUACAGAUUAAAAUAACCACAAAAGCAACUACACGUGGCACCCAACAAGGGAGAAGAUAAAGAUGGCAUGGUUAAAGGCUGGAACGGAAAGGAGACCAACAGGGCUCCAGCCCAGAACAGCAACUGUGGAAAAGAAUCGAGCCUGAGACUCACUUUUUGCUCUCCGAGGAAGGAGGGCAUGAUGGACUUGUCCCCUGAGUGCUGCUCUGUAGCGGGUCCUGAUCCAGGUGCGGAGCGUGGGUGCUGCCACCCCAGGAAUCCUACCUGUUUUUAGCUUGAUGCUCAGUCUGCACUCACUGUUGACGCUGUGUGGGGGACGUGGCUUCCGGAUCCAGGAACACGGCCCCACUACAAGGAACGUCCUCAGGACAGGACGGGAGAGGUCCUAAUAACAGUCUUCCCCCUAACAACGCCCUCCUGAUUUAAAUAAAAUCUCACAUUUUGCUUUUAGAGUGUGUAAUAUUAUAUUCCCUUUAUGAUAAAAGAGGAAAUCUGGAAUAACGCAAAAAUAAUGCCCGACGAACGCCUCCACCGGGGAAUUUCUGAACAAUAAUCCCAAAACCAUAGAGGUGUGUCAAUGGGUUUUUAGUGACACUACAUAUCGUAAGUGACCCCGUCUCCCAAAUACAGUCAAUUUUAUCCAGCCACAAAAGAUUCACAAGUGCUGCCUUCCUCCUUUCUCUUCUAAGACCCAUUUCAUACCUUUCCUCUCUGUGCACAGAAAUCUUCUGUAGAAAAGCGGUUUCAAGUAGAAACAUUUUAUUCAACACAUUUUAAAUUCCAAGGAGCCUCCUGGGCAUUUUAAUAAGUAACGUUUAUUACACAAAUCCGACUGUAAGCUUCUAGCAGACCAAAAAUAGGUGUUUGUAUUAUUUUCCAUAUUAUAUUUAGUAGUGUCAUGUAAUAAAGUUCUUACUAAAUAAUGACUGUGUUAACAGGCCCGUGCUAUUAUCUCAUGCCUCCUAGGUUUGGUAGUCGGUUUAUUUUCCUCUAAUGGCAUACAGCUCUGGUUUACACAUAAGUUUUACAAAUUUCGCUUUGAUUUCAGAAGUGUGUUUUUUUAAGAAUAAAUUAAAUAGCUGUGGUCCAUUAAGAAAAAAAUUCUCCCUUUGUGUGUGUGUGUGUGUGUGUGU